GGUCAUGAGUGCCAGCGCGAAGCCCCGGCUUGCUGGCCGGCAACCCUCCAACCGCGGUGGGGUGCCCCGGGUGAAGACCAGGCGCGACGUCAACCGGCGUCCGCAAGCUCGGCAC
rnacentral:ncRNA from 2 species